UCAAUUUGAAUAUACUUUUAAUUUUUGAAUGAACUUUUUUUUUCACAAAUACACUUUACAGACAUUAUGAUGAGAGAAAAUGGUUUUUAAGUAUCUUAAUAAUUAAGUAAUUUAUUGGCUUUGUCAAGGUUAAAGUUUAUUUUUUGGUAUAGUUUUAAACAUGGCACACAUACAAUUAUUGCCACUUUUCUGGUUACCACAGAUAGGUCAUCACACAGGGAUACAGUAACAUCUUUGGCACAAGUUUUAAGUUGCCAUGGUAUCAAAUAAAUAAAUACCCUUAUAAUAAUAUAUGCUGCAUCUUCAAAUAAAUAGCUACUCUAAUUAAAAGCCUAAACUAGAAUUUACUGGAGAACAGACAAAAUUUGAACUUGGACGAUGCUUUUAUCUUAAAUCCUUUAAAUUUUUUAUCUUAUGUCCAAAAAUGUGAAAAUAUUUUUUACAUUCAUACAUUUUCUGUAUAAGGAACCCUUACCUAUUUUGCAUAAUAAUCAUUUGAAUAAUCAGAAUUCCCCCCAAAAUUGUUUUAAAUCAAUUUUUGUAAAACUAUUUACACAAGUUUCAAUCAUUUUGAAAAUGGGAGCAAACAAUAUUCCAGCAUUUAUUGCAGACGAUAUAAUGAGACAAUUAUUUAGUUUAUACAAAAACAAAUAUACAUAAUACUUGUAUAAAAAAUUCACAAAAAACUGGAUAUGAAAAAACGGACCAGUCCUUAUAACAUUACAUAUACAGGGUUAGGAAACAAACGUUCUAAAAAGGUUAUAUGUUUUUCUACUGAUUAAAUAAGCUGGGUGUUAUUUCAUGAAGUAGUUCAGUUAAAGCCUAUUAAUUUUGAAUAUUUUCAUAUCUGUGUUAUAGUUGCAAUCACAAAUUUUAGAAUUGCUCGCCAUGUAGGCAUACUCAAAUGUCUUUUUACAUUUAAUUUAUAGUGAUUCUUUAAAGGAUUUUUCAAUUGUUCCAUAGAUUUUUAUUCUAAAGGACUGAAAAUAUUUUUGAUAGCAAACAGUAUCAUGUUAAUUUUUGGACCAUAAAGGGGGUGUGCACUAUAUACAAAUGCGCACUAUACACCCCAAAAGACGGUAAGCCUUCGUGAAACAGCUUCAUGUAAAAAGACCCUCGUUGGAAAUACUACAGGACACACAUCCAUAGAGAUUCAUUAAUAAUAGAUAUAGAUCUUUUAAACUGAUGUAGCUAACAUUAAAACCUAUUGGUGAAAAUACUGAAAAAUGGAAAUAUAUUAACAAUAGGACUUAUUUCUUUCUUACUUAAAAAUUAACAACAAAUAUUAAGACUUUUGAAGUAAAAAGAUUGAAGCCAUCCAAAAUCUUAACAAAGAAGAACAUUUGAAAAUUCAUUUAUUUUAUAACAAGGAUAAUGCAGUUUUGAAAAUUAUUCUUUUUAAAAAAAAAACAUCUUUAGUUGCUUGAAAGUAUUUUUUCCAGUAUUUUCACCAACUUUUUCCUACACUAAGCCUACUCUAUUCACCGAAUACAUUAAACUCAAUCAAAAAAAUUGAAAGAGCUGUAUUCAUACAAAAAAAUGUGUUCCCUGAGUUCAUAAUUCAAAAAUCUGCCUUUCUUGAUAAAAUAAAAUAUUGCUGGUAAUCGUUUAACUCCCAUUUUCUAAGCAAAGUCCUUAUUCUCCUUUUCUCAUUUUCCAGAAUUAGGAAUGUCCCUUAAAUAUAUUUUCUCAAUCACACUUUCUUGAAAAAAUAAUGGGGAACAUCUCAAAAUUCAUUUGUGUUAAAAAUUCGUACACAGUAUAACAUUAUUUUAUGGUAAUUACGCUAUCUAUUUUAGUCUAAUUUUUAAAGAGAAGAAACCUGUGACUAGUAUUAUUUUUAUCAUGCAAAUUUUGUCAUGCAAUCUAUACUAAUUUUACACUUGACCAAAUAGCACACUAACAGUGACCGGCAUUUUAGUAAAAUUACUAAAUAGUAUAAAUAUCCUAUUGAAAAUCUAUGAUAUAAAUACAAUCCUCAAAUUAUAUAUUGACAAAAUAUCAGCACCAUUUUAUAUUCUGAGAUGUUCCCAUCAUUUUUGUCAAAUAUUUAGCGUUGAUAUCACCUGCCAGAAAGCAUGAAUGACUUAUCAAAAUCUACAUUGAUCAAAACUUUUAUGUACAAAGACAAAUACACGAGGAAUAUAAAUAUAAACGAAAACAAUUUCUGGGUGAAAUAUUGAUAUCUUUUUAACUUAACAAAGGUAUUUUACAUAUGUCACGAUACACACCCUACUAACUACUACAUAUUUACUAACUAAACCAGGUUAAGAACCUAGUUAUCACAGAUAGUAAUGCAGGGGGAAAUCUCAAAAAUGUUUUUGUUUGUGAAACUAACUACUGAAGAAAGCCCAAAAAUUCACUCCAUGGAGUUUCAGAUCUUAUGAUGAAAAAAAUUCAACUAAAAAAUUAAAAAUCUGACUAUAUAUGCAAACAUUAACAUUUUUGAGAAGACCCCUUUCUUCUGUGACUGAGACAUAUUUUUGUACUUUGGACCCUGAUGAAUCUUUAUAUUUGUACACUAUUACUAUUCGUAUAGCACUAGGGGCUGUUUAUUUAUUUAUGUGCCUUUUCAUGCAAACACUGACACAGAAAAAAAAUCACAUUCACGGAUAAAGCUAAUAUUUACAGACGUUGACAAAAAACAAAAUUUACACAAUCCAUUUUAGUUAUUUCCAAAUGCGUGGUUUUGUAUAAUUGCAAAAUUAUUUUUUCGUAAAAACUGAAGAUGCAAAAGAAGGUUUUGAACUACUGACAUGUUUAAGUUUAACAAAAUAUCCUUUUACAAAUUUCUUAAAUUCUUAAAAUGAAUUAUUGCUAUUCAUUUAAAUCAAGCAGAUAGUAAUUAAAAAAUAUAAUAAUAAUCAAAAGCAAUAAAGCAAAAAAUCAAUGUAAGGACUUGCUAAUCUUAUAUAAAAAGCAAAAGCUUUUGAUAUGCGUAGAACUUGUGCACACUGAUCUAUUGAAACUAUUUAAACUGACCAAAUUUUCGUAACAAAUAGAUUUAAUAACACUGUCCAUAAAAUUUGUAAAAAUGUAAAAACAAUAACAUAUUUUUCUAAAUAUAAGAAAACAACCUCAAUUUUACAUAUAUUUACAAGACAACUGCUCACAUGGUGAAACAGAAACAUUCAUUUGAAAAAAAGAAAAUGUCAGCUUUUAACUUCAAAAAUUUAACAAAUUUUCUUCCUUCAAUGUCAAACUGAUAGAAAAUUUGAAAUUGGCUUAGCACCUUUUUUCAAGAAAAUGUGUAAAAAAAAAGAUGUACUUUUCUAAAAUAACAGCACUAUUUUUUUCUGCGUAAUUGUGAUAUUUACACCAUAACAGUGAAAAGGUAUUUCAAUAAACAAAUUGUUCAAGAAAUCAUGCAAGACCAUUUCUAGAUGGUUAUUUGUAUAUUUUAUAAAAUUAACAAAUAAAGAACAAUGUCGUAAAUUCAAUUGUCAAAAAACUCUUCAAAGACUUUCUUCAAUCAAUGCUCUUUUAAAGUUUACUUUUGACAUCUAUAUUGUAAGAAAAACAUAUUGAUAUUCUAUUUUUAAAUUCUCCUUAUCAUGUGAUAUUCAAUAUGAGAUGGAACUUAUUGAAAUCAUGUGACAUUCAAUAUGAGAUGGAACUUACUUCAAUAACAGUAAAGUAUUGCCUCUUUUCUAAACCCAGCAAGUAAACAAUAAAAAAAAAAAUACCUGAAGUUUCUUUCAUUUGUUCAUUGUAAUUUUAUUGACCAAGACCCAGCUUAGUUCUUUCAAAUAUCUUAUGCAUAGCAUACCAGUAAAUCUUGUUAGCAAAAACUUGGAACGUUAAGUGCACAUUGUCAAAAGUAAAAGAUAAUACAAAUCCUUGCCAUUCAAAAAUUCUCAUUUGCCAAAUGAAUAUGGUCUAUUGAUUUUGACCCCAUACUUUUGUAAAUUUCAAAUAUUUGACAAAAUUUGGUAGACUCAGUGAGUGUACCACUGAAUAUUUUUAGAGUUGGUAAAAAAAAAAUAUGUUUUUCUAAUUUACCUGUAAUUAAUAUUUGUUCAGUUUUGGUUUUUUUUUUUUAACCUUUUUUUAAUUUAAAAAGUUAACUGAAAAAAAAAAAACUCUGAACACAAGGUUAGAAGAAAGAUUUUCCAAUGAACACUAUUUCAAGAAUAAAUUAUUGCCAUUAUAAAUUUAACAAUACCCUCAACCAUACAAAACAGAUAGAAUUUAAAAUAAAUUUUUUAAGUAGUUUGAAAGUUUGAUUAAAGCAGAAUAAAAAAUUUAGUAAUAAAAGAUUUUAACAAAAUUAAAACUUUUCGAAAAUAUAUAAAAGGUAUAUAGGGAAUCUAAAUCUAUAAAAAACAUAUAUCCCAACCAUUCACACAUUAUUUUACAUUUACGAAACCAUGCAAAUAUCGUAAACAAACCAUUUUUACACCCCAUUUAAAAAUUGUUUCUUUAUCACAUUUCGAUAAAAACAAUAAAUGUAUUAUGAAAAGAAAGGGAAUAAAAAAAAAAGUUCUACGAAUAAAUACUACCAAUAUUUGAUAAAAUUAUAUUUAACUUAAAAAUAAAUGAAAGAUAAAAAAUGAUAAUGGUUUCUCUAAUAUUGAAUGAAAUAUACAUACUGGACAUUUUUCGUUUCUGAGAUAAAACUGUUUAAAAUAUCUGUUGGUUUGAACUUUAAAAAAAAUAUCAU
rnacentral:lncRNA from 1 species